AGCAGCUUCGUCAAAUUCAGGACCGCCGGUGAAGUGGUGUCUCCUGGCCAAUGGGCUGCGACAUCAUGGUGUAGUUCAUGGGCCCCGCGUCCCCUCCGGUGGGAUUUGGGGAUAUAUUGUACUACAGACACAG